UUGGAAUAUUUGCUUUUCAGUAUGAUGUGCCCAACUUAAGUACUUUUAUUAGCAUUCGGGACAUGUUUGGUGUAUGACCCUGAUGAGCCUUACCAAAUUUUGGCUCUUCCGAACCCUGUGUGAUGCGAAGAUGUUGGCAAGUUCUAGAUUUUGGUUUCUUGCCAAUUUGCCAUGCCAACUUGUCGGCAAUCACAGAAGCGGUAGACUCAUGUUACUGGGAGUGGUGGGAAGCCGUACACCCUUUCUUCACAAUUCUUAACCAAUGCUUGUUGUUCACCUUUUCCAUUUGGUUCAGGGAAAAAGGCUUUUAUAUUUUCUAAUUGGCUUAUAGCUCAGCAAAAGAAUACUACAGACAGUGGAGUUUAUUUGUAUCCAGAUAUACAAUGUGGAGAAAUUGUUCAUCUAUUCUCUCUGGUUUUGUCAGGAAACCUUCUCAUUUCACCUUUCUUGCCUAGUGAAGGAGUUGGUGAGGCUGAUGAGCCUAACAGCUCUGGUCCUUUGGUCGUAGAUACUAGCGGUUUGGCUGACAACAGUCAUAAGCGCAAGGCUGAUACAGUGAAACUGAAAAGCAGCAAGGCUAAGAAACCGAAGCCUUUGCCAAAGAUAGAAAGUGACUUUUGCUACCGCCGGGAGAAAGGAUUUCCUGCUAUCCAAAUAGGUCUAAAUCUUCAUAGAAUUCAAACAAGCAAUUUCUUGCAAGAGUUUCAUGGAAUGCAUUUCUUGUUAUUCAUCAAGCUGGUGGGCAAGGAGUUACCUUGAGAGAACUUUCGCAGGCACUGCAUCCGUUAGCCAUGCAGCUGGUCUUAAUAAUUGUUGACACUCUCAAAAGAUUUCAGCUGGCUGUUAAGGUCAAUGCAUAUGAUGGCGUUCAGAUUGUGGACUCAUUACAUUCGUCAAAGUAUCAUAUAGCUACACUUGCAGAAUGUGAUAGUUGCUGCUGUACAGAUCCUCCAACUUCUCAAUUUGUUGAUAAUGAAAACACAAAAAAUCUACUGAAAGAGAAGCAUACCAAGCCUAUUAAUUUUCCUGGUCCAAUAAAAAUGCUUGGUGAUGGGCACACAGUGACAGUAAUUAAUGUUCAAAGCAAGUUGAGCCCACCUUACAUGCACAGCAAAGAUCCUGGGGAUGCGGAAAGGUUAUCUACUCCAGGAGAGAACAAUAAGGAGAGUAGUUUCUAUCAUAAUUGUGAAAGGCAUUGUUAUCAGCCUAUAUUACCAUGGAUAAAUGGUGAUGGUAGUACUAAUAGCACUCUCUAUGAAGGUUUAAGUCGCCGAGUUAUUGGUUAUGUCAUGCACUAUCCAGGACUAUCGGAGGUAUAUUUGCUUUUAUUGUUUGUGCCUGCUCUUUCUAAAUAGAAAACUAAUAUUAUGCUUGUUCGUUGAGUGCAAUACCA